rnacentral:rRNA from 1 species
GGGUUGUGAGGUUAAGCGACUAAGCGUACACGGUGGAUGCCCUGGCAGUCAGAGGCGAUGAAGGACGUGCUAAUCUGCGAUAAGCGUCGGUAAGGUGAUAUGAACCGUUAUAACCGGCGAUUUCCGAAUGGGGAAACCCAGUGUGAUUCGUCACACUAUCAUUAACUGAAUCCAUAGGUUAAUGAGGCGAACCGGGGGAACUGAAACAUCUAAGUACCCCGAGGAAAAGAAAUCAACCGAGAUUCCCCCAGUAGCGGCGAGCGAACGGGGAGCAGCCCAGAGCCUGAAUCAGUGUGUGUGUUAGUGGAAGCGUCUGGAAAGGCGCGCGAUACAGGGUGACAGCCCCGUACACAAAAAUGCACAUACUGUGAGCUCGAUGAGUAGGGCGGGACACGUGGUAUCCUGUCUGAAUAUGGGGGGACCAUCCUCCAAGGCUAAAUACUCCUGACUGACCGAUAGUGAACCAGUACCGUGAGGGAAAGGCGAAAAGAACCCCGGCGAGGGGAGUGAAAAAGAACCUGAAACCGUGUACGUACAAGCAGUGGGAGCACAGAGCAAUCUGUGUGACUGCGUACCUUUUGUAUAAUGGGUCAGCGACUUAUAUUCUGUAGCAAGGUUAACCGAAUAGGGGAGCCGAAGGGAAACCGAGUCUUAACUGGGCGUUAAGUUGCAGGGUAUAGACCCGAAACCCGGUGAUCUAGCCAUGGGCAGGUUGAAGGUUGGGUAACACUAACUGGAGGACCGAACCGACUAAUGUUGAAAAAUUAGCGGAUGACUUGUGGCUGGGGGUGAAAGGCCAAUCAAACCGGGAGAUAGCUGGUUCUCCCCGAAAGCUAUUUAGGUAGCGCCUCGUGAAUUCAUCUCCGGGGGUAGAGCACUGUUUCGGCAAGGGGGUCAUCCCGACUUACCAACCCGAUGCAAACUGCGAAUACCGGAGAAUGUUAUCACGGGAGACACACGGCGGGUGCUAACGUCCGUCGUGAAGAGGGAAACAACCCAGACCGCCAGCUAAGGUCCCAAAGUCAUGGUUAAGUGGGAAACGAUGUGGGAAGGCCCAGACAGCCAGGAUGUUGGCUUAGAAGCAGCCAUCAUUUAAAGAAAGCGUAAUAGCUCACUGGUCGAGUCGGCCUGCGCGGAAGAUGUAACGGGGCUAAACCAUGCACCGAAGCUGCGGCAGCGACGCUGAUGCGUUGUUGGGUAGGGGAGCGUUCUGUAAGCCUGUGAAGGUGUACUGUGAGGUAUGCUGGAGGUAUCAGAAGUGCGAAUGCUGACAUAAGUAACGAUAAAGCGGGUGAAAAGCCCGCUCGCCGGAAGACCAAGGGUUCCUGUCCAACGUUAAUCGGGGCAGGGUGAGUCGACCCCUAAGGCGAGGCCGAAAGGCGUAGUCGAUGGGAAACAGGUUAAUAUUCCUGUACUUGGUGUUACUGCGAAGGGGGGACGGAGAAGGCUAUGUUGGCCGGGCGACGGUUGUCCCGGUUUAAGCGUGUAGGCUGGUUUUCCAGGCAAAUCCGGAAAAUCAAGGCUGAGGCGUGAUGACGAGGCACUACGGUGCUGAAGCAACAAAUGCCCUGCUUCCAGGAAAAGCCUCUAAGCAUCAGGUAACAUCAAAUCGUACCCCAAACCGACACAGGUGGUCAGGUAGAGAAUACCAAGGCGCUUGAGAGAACUCGGGUGAAGGAACUAGGCAAAAUGGUGCCGUAACUUCGGGAGAAGGCACGCUGAUAUGUAGGUGAAGUCCCUCGCGGAUGGAGCUGAAAUCAGUCGAAGAUACCAGCUGGCUGCAACUGUUUAUUAAAAACACAGCACUGUGCAAACACGAAAGUGGACGUAUACGGUGUGACGCCUGCCCGGUGCCGGAAGGUUAAUUGAUGGGGUCAGCGCAAGCGAAGCUCUUGAUCGAAGCCCCGGUAAACGGCGGCCGUAACUAUAACGGUCCUAAGGUAGCGAAAUUCCUUGUCGGGUAAGUUCCGACCUGCACGAAUGGCGUAAUGAUGGCCAGGCUGUCUCCACCCGAGACUCAGUGAAAUUGAACUCGCUGUGAAGAUGCAGUGUACCCGCGGCAAGACGGAAAGACCCCGUGAACCUUUACUAUAGCUUGACACUGAACAUUGAGCCUUGAUGUGUAGGAUAGGUGGGAGGCUUAGAAGUGUGGACGCCAGUCUGCAUGGAGCCGACCUUGAAAUACCACCCUUUAAUGUUUGAUGUUCUAACGUUGACCCGUAAUCCGGGUUGCGGACAGUGUCUGGUGGGUAGUUUGACUGGGGCGGUCUCCUCCUAAAGAGUAACGGAGGAGCACGAAGGUUGGCUAAUCCUGGUCGGACAUCAGGAGGUUAGUGCAAUGGCAUAAGCCAGCUUGACUGCGAGCGUGACGGCGCGAGCAGGUGCGAAAGCAGGUCAUAGUGAUCCGGUGGUUCUGAAUGGAAGGGCCAUCGCUCAACGGAUAAAAGGUACUCCGGGGAUAACAGGCUGAUACCGCCCAAGAGUUCAUAUCGACGGCGGUGUUUGGCACCUCGAUGUCGGCUCAUCACAUCCUGGGGCUGAAGUAGGUCCCAAGGGUAUGGCUGUUCGCCAUUUAAAGUGGUACGCGAGCUGGGUUUAGAACGUCGUGAGACAGUUCGGUCCCUAUCUGCCGUGGGCGCUGGAGAACUGAGGGGGGCUGCUCCUAGUACGAGAGGACCGGAGUGGACGCAUCACUGGUGUUCGGGUUGUCAUGCCAAUGGCACUGCCCGGUAGCUAAAUGCGGAAGAGAUAAGUGCUGAAAGCAUCUAAGCACGAAACUUGCCCCGAGAUGAGUUCUCCCUGACUCCUUGAGAGUCCUGAAGGAACGUUGAAGACGACGACGUUGAUAGGCCGGGUGUGUAAGCGCAGCGAUGCGUUGAGCUAACCGGUACUAAUGAACCGUGAGGCUUAACCUUACAACGCCGAAGGUGUUU